rnacentral:rRNA from 1 species
UACGUGAGGGGCGAUCGUUGUUUGGUGUCACUGGGCUUAAAGGGCGCGUAGGUGGUUGCAUAAGUAAGGUGUGAAAGCCCUCGGCUUACCCGGGGAAUUGCGCCUUAUACUGCGUGACUUGAGGAUCUCAGGGGAAGGGGGAACUCCAGGUGUAGCGGUGAAAUGCGCAGAUAUCUGGGGGAAGGCCGGCGGCGAAGGCGCCCUUCUGGGAGAUUCCUGACACUGAGGCGCGAAAGCGUGGGGAGCAAACAGG